AGUGGACUUGCUGGGUCUUAUGGUAAGUGUAUGUUUAACUUUUUAAGAAAUUGCCAGACUGUUUUCCAAAGCAGCUGUACCAUUUUGCAUUCCCGCCAGCAAU
rnacentral:pre_miRNA from 1 species